AUGGUCGACGUUUACCACCGGCCGCCGCUCCCGCACGGCCUCCCGCGCCAUCCUUACCACGCUGCCGGUCUUCGCCGGCUCUCCACCCGCGCCUCGGCACCCAGUAGCCCGGCUCCUCCAUCUCCCUCCGCGGCGGCGCCGGCCUCCGCCUCGGUGGUUCUCGCUCACCUCGCUGCGGCCGGGGUGCCCGUCCUCCCGGGCCUCUCCGCAACCGAGCUUGCCCUUGUGGAGGCCGCGCUCGGCGGCGUCCAGCUCCCGCCCGACCUCCGCGAGCUCCUGGCGGUGGGCGUGCCCUCGGGGGACGACUUCCCGCACUACCGCUCGUCCGCUGGGCUCCGCCUCCUCCGCUUCGUCGCGCAAGAGGUCCCCGCCGCCGUCGCCGCGACGCUGCCCCUCGCCCCCGGCCGACGCGCUGGGAGGCCUCCGCCUCCCCUCGUCCCGCUCUGCGGCCGUCAUUACGUGCCGGCGACGCCCUGCCUGGUGGGGAACCCGGUGUUCCACGUGUCCGACUCCGGCGUGACGUUCGCGGGCGCCAACGUGGCCGACUUCCUCCUGCGCGCCUUCGCCGCCGAGGCCGAGCCGCCGCCGCUCCGGCGCCAGCUGUCCGCGCCGGUGACGCCGUCCCCCGCGACGCCCUCGAACACGGCGCGCCGGAGCCUGGACUCGGUCACCGGCAGGGCUCCGCGCUGGAUCGAGUUCUGGAGCGACGCCGCCGCGGCCGGGGACCGUUUUCUUGAAGUCGUCCCCACGCGCGCUACGACCACGAACACCACCUCGGCGCCAGAGCCAGAGUGGCUGCGGCGCAGCCUAGAGCAGGCAGGCUCCGCGCUGACGCGCGGCGGGUGGGACGACGGCGACGUGGAGGAGAUGACGGGUCCCAACGGCGAGGCGAACGUGGACGUGGCAUUGCCGCUGACGGUGGACCGGUGCUGCGGGGAGCUGAGGAGGGGACGGUGGGGCGCGGAGGAGGUGGUGGAGAUGCUGGGGCCGCUGCUGGGACCGAGCAGGAAGGCGCGGCGGGCGGCGGCGGCGCUGCCGCCGGACGUGGCUGCGCGGGUGGGGCGGCUGGCCGAGGCGGUGUCGCGGGCGGUCGGGCCCCGUGGCCGAUCGAAACCCCCGAGGCCAUUUUGA
rnacentral:rRNA from 1 species